rnacentral:lncRNA from 1 species
CGACUUUUAUAUUGGGCAUAAGUCUUUUCAACCCCAAGUUUUUUGGUUAAAAUAAGGAAGUAUAUGUUUUUCUACAGUUAUCUUGCUCAACGGCAAUUACUAUCACGCCAACCACGUGUGGCAGCAUCAACCAUGAGUUUUAAAAGCUCAUUGCUUUCUUCCGACAUCCAUUUCUCAUAUUUUUCGAUACCUUUUCCCUGAACCUUGUCAUUUCCUUGUGUUGAAUCUUUCAUUAAAACUAGUGUCAUAUUAUUAGAGAACAAAUAUUUAGGCAAAUGCAAAAUGAUAUAAAUCAUGAAUUUAUGACCACAACAUCAUGGAACUAAUCUUCUACAAAUCCCCAACAAGAAUAUAAACAAAAAAGUAUGUCAAACUUUACAUCUCUAUUUCUUGUUAUAGCUCCAGCCAAUCAUGAUCUAUGCAAUCCUAAAUACUUCUAUGUCAAUAUGGUAGGACAGGUCGAGAAACAAACUUGUUAAAUUAGACUGAGGAAAAAACAAAGCAUCUUAAAAACUCUCAUUUCUAGUCUUUUAUUUGAUAACAUUUAAGCAAAUCUUCUUGCAUGGGGAUAAAAGGACCUU